GACGAACGCUGGCGGCGUGCCUAACACAUGCAAGUCGAGCGGAGUCGAUCGACGGAAGCCUUCGGGCGGAAGAUGGUUGACUUAGCGGCGGAUGGGUGAGUAACGCGUGGGCAACCUGCCUCGAAGACCGGGAUAACAGCCCGAAAGGGCUGCUAAUACCGGAUGUGGUCAAGGAUCCGCAUGGAUUUUUGAUUAAAGGGGAAACCCGUUUCGAGAUGGGCCCGCGUCCUAUCAGCUAGUUGGUGAGGUAAAAGCUCACCAAGGCGACGACGGGUAGCCGGCCUGAGAGGGUGACCGGCCACACUGGAACUGAGACACGGUCCAGACUCCUACGGGGGGCAGCAGUGGGGGAAUCUUCCACAAUGGGCGAAAGCCUGAUGGAGCGACGCCGCGUGAGCGAAGAAGGCCUCGGUUGUAAGACUCUGUCUGGAGGGACGAAGGAAGUAGGACGGUACCUCCGGAGGAAGGCCACGGCUAACUACGUGCCAGCAGCCGCGGUAAAAGUACUACUAU
rnacentral:rRNA from 1 species